rnacentral:sRNA from 1 species
CCUUGCGCUUGCUAGGCAAGCGCUCUACCACUGAGGUAAAUCCCCAACCCCGGGAUGCUGAUUCCUAAUUUCUAUCAAUCAAUGUCAAAUAAAGCUGACUGGCUCUGAGAAUGGGAUAGGCACUCAUAAAUCUUCCACAUUGAUAUGUGUGCGCCUACGUGGAGGUCUUCUCCUCAGAUCUGGAUGCAAGGGCCUCCUCUUACCAACUAAGCAGCAUCGUAAGAGGCCCUCACACUAUGCGUGCAACCCUUAUUGAUUAGUUCGGGAGGCAUCUGAAAUAAAAAAAAGCAGGAGAUAAGUAAGGCUGUGUAUCCCGAGCUGUGUAUUCCUGGUGUUAAGGCCCCCAGGGUUAGGAGCCUGACCGCCAUUUAUUGCCCUAAGGUUGAACAGCCAUUUGGUUUUUAGUUUCUGCAUAGGUGGUUUUCAAUUUCUUACCUAAGAGACUUCAGUGCAUGCUUUCUUCCUUCUGUGUUGACAUAGCCUAUGGUACCCUUCGAUGACGCCAUACUUGUUCCCCACGAAGCUGGUCAUUGUGAGGUACGGGACGUGUAGUGCCAUGUCGUUUCAAAAAUUCACAGUGCAAGCAGAAGUCGGGACAUCUGCAGACGGCAGUUCUGUACAACAACUCAUUCACAUCUGUCCGGUAGAUAUUUAUACAUGUGUGGUCUGGUCCCUUAAAAAGUCUGGGAACUUAAAGGUUGCCCUUUUCGUUGGGGAAGAUCAUUAGGAUUCUUAACCUGAGGGACUAUGACAUACAAUCACAUGACGGUUGGAGGACAGUAGAAGGUAUAUCAUCAUUUCAAAAGUGAAGGUUCCAGGGACCCUCAAGCUUUGGUGGGGCCAUCCAUUCCCUGUGUCUGCAGAUGGCUUUGUAGGCCUACAGUCUCAUCUGUGCAGCGCAAGGCUGGUCCUUAAUACCGAGACAAGAGACCAAGGAACAAGAGACGAGAGGUUCCGUGGACUCUGGACCUAAAAACAUGGGACGACUGCUCUCUAGGUGAGAUGUCUCCGUACUCGGUUGAACUUCCUUCCAGAACUUUCUCCCCAUAAAUGGACAUAGUGUUGUCUCUGUCCAAUCAGGUGUGGCUCUUGACAAGAGGCUGACUCAAGGACCCAGUGCUGUGACCAGAGAUGACUUUUUUUCUUGUGAAUCCACAGCUGUCCCCUCCGCCUUCCUAGACGCGGGGGUUGAUUUCAAGACUCCUAUUAAUAGCUCAGGAUGGCAAGACCUGCGACCUCUGCCCUGGAUCUUCCGAGCCUUGAGAGCAAAGCAGCGACAGCAGCCGAUUGGAUAAGGUCUCUUCGUCCAUCUUUAUUUUCUACGAAUCUCUGAUUGGCCCUGUUGGGGAUUCUAGUAAUUACUGUAAGCUGGCACCUCCAGAAGAAGAAAAGAAAAAGACCUCUUAGGAUUCAAUUAAAAAUUAAAGGGACCUUUGUGUGUGGUUACCAAGGAGCUUUCACAGCACAGGCGGGAUGUGACCUGCAUGGAUCAGACACCCGCAGGUUGAAGUUCACUCACCAGGAGGAAGUUAGGUUGUUUGGUUUUGGUUGAAAACAACUUGCAUUCCUGGACGUGCGAGGGCUGCUUCGGCGGACAGGUACACGCAGAGCUGCCCGUGGCUUGAGAGGUUAUUAGAGACCUGCUCCUCAUUGCUUUCUGUCUGGCCAUGACGGGGUCCGCAGACAUGGGUGGGAAGCUCCUGAAUGAAUGCGUGUGGCAUGGGAGAAACCCUUACAGGGACCUGGGGAAUGUUUCUGUCUGGAGGAUAGACGCCAUCCUCUGAACGCCCUUCACACCGCACACAGCUCUCUCUGUAGCUGCUUCCUUCGCACGGCACCCAAGAGCUGUGAAAACAUCUACUGCUGAAAAUCAGGGAAAUGACAAGCUAACAGAGACCUUAGCUGUCCCUACUGUCCCCGUUUUAAAAUUUGUUUUCUAUUGCAUAUGUGUGGGUGUGUCCCCUGCAUGUGUACCUGUGCACCCUGCGAAGGCAGUGUGUCAUGACAGAGGGCAGAGAAGGACAUUGCAUCCCCUAACGAGCUACAGAAGGUUGUGAGCGGCCAUGUGGGUGCUGGGAAAUGAACCCAGUCCUCUGAACAGCAGCCAGUGCUCUUAACUACUGAUCCAUCUCUCUAGACCCUGUCCCUCUUCUCAGACCCUGUCCCACAGCUUCUUCUUAUCUCAAAAGCUUAGGGAAUAGUGAAAGACAAGAUCAAAAAUGGAUUUAAGGGACUUUAGUAAAAGACUAAAAUUGGAUUACCAAGUAUCACUUCAAUGGAACAAUGAAAAUUUAAAGUAGUGAGUCACCUAGUAAUAGUCUACACAUGUAUACAUAUGUAUGUUAUAUACAUGCAUAUACACAUAUAUACAUACAUAUGU